AGCUCCAAUAGCGUAUAUUAAAGUUGUUGCAGUUAAAACGCCCGUAGUCGAAUUUGUGAGAGUAGGGGGAUUUAGAGGGGCUUUGGCUUUUGUCACUGUCUUUUUAUUUUUCCAGGCUCUCAUUUUAAAUUUCUGGUCUUUGGGCCUUGGGUUUUUAACCUAAGGUCAUUUCCUUUUGGUGGGCCAGAAAUGAUUACUUUGAAAAAAUUAGAGUGUUCAAAGCGGGCUUUUUAAGCCGAAUACAUUAGCAUGGAAUAAUAAAAUAAGCCUUUGUGUUUAUUUUGUUGGUUAUAAACGUAAAGAAAUGAUGAAUAGGUUUGGUUGGGGACAUUAGUAUUUAAUAGUCAGAGGUGAAAUUCUUGGAUUUAUGAAAGACUAACUUCUGCGAAAGCAUUUGUCAAGGACAAACCCA
rnacentral:rRNA from 1 species